rnacentral:rRNA from 1 species
GAUGAACGCUGGCGGCGUGCUUAACACAUGCAAGUCGAACGGAAAGGCCCUGCUUUUGUGGCGUGCUCGAGUGGCGAACGGGUGAGUAUCACGUGAGUAACCUGCCCUUGACUUUGGGAUAACUUCAGGAAACCGGGGCUAAUACCGGAUAGGAGCUCCUGCUGCAUGGUGGGGGUUGGAAAGUUUGGGAGGUUGGGGAUGGACUCGAGGCUUCUGAGCCUGUUGGUGGGGUAGUGUCUUACCAAGGCUUUGACGAGUAGCCGGCGGGAGAGGGUGACCGGCAACCAUGGGACUGCGGUGCGGCGGAGAAGACUACGGGAGGCAGCAGUGGGGGAGAAUGCUCAGUGGUCGGCAGCAGGAUGAAGGAACGCCGCGGGGGGGAUGAAGGACUUCGGGUUGUCGACAGCUUUCGCCUGCGAAGAAGAGAGAGUGACGGUAACGGGUAAAGAAGCACCGGCUAACUACGUG